rnacentral:rRNA from 1 species
AUUGAACGCUGGCGGCAUGCCUUACACAUGCAAGUCGAACGGCAGCACGGGAGCAAUCCUGGUGGCGAGUGGCGAACGGGUGAGUAAUAUAUCGGAACGUGCCCAGUCGUGGGGAUAACGUAGCGAAAGCUACGCUAAUACCGCAUACGAUCUAUGGAUGAAAGCGGGGGAUCGCAAGACCUCGCGCGAUUGGAGCGGCCGAUAUCAGAUUAGGUAGUUGGUGAGGUAAAGGCUCACCAAGCCGACGAUCUGUAGCUGGUCUGAGAGGACGACCAGCCACACUGGGACUGAGACACGGUCCAGACUCCUACGGGAGGCAGCAGUGGGGAAUUUUGGACAAUGGGCGCAAGCCUGAUCCAGCAAUGCCGCGUGAGUGAAGAAGGCCUGUGUAG